ensembl:lncRNA
UGUGGAACACUGUGGACGAGCAAAGACAUGCAUGCACUAAUCUUUUAUUGUUUCGGAAAGUUCAUUUUCUAUGUAGUUCUACGUUAAAUGACAUUACAAAUAGUAGCUUUAUCUCUGAUUAACAUCUCUCAGGAAACUGAAGAAAAGAGAACAGAAGUGUGGCACUCGCCCAGAUGUCACAAUAUGUGAAUUGACAAACACUAAGAAGGCAAGAAAAAAAUGUUAUCUUAUCUUUUGGAAUGUUAAGUAGUCUCUAUGCCAUAAAACCGAAAAGAUUAGGAAUAGAUUUGUAAGACGCAGCUUUCCUACAGUUUUAAAUGAUCCACAUUGGCAUAUAUGUUGUCUAAGUGAUCCGCACUUUGAUCCAUCUGAUCUGGAUGGGCCUGCAAAGACAGACGUUGGGUUACAUAUUGGUCUGCGGUUUGUGUCUCAGUUCCCGGCUAUUUAGUAUAUUGAUCGCAUGUAUCGUACCUCAAUGUUGGCGUAAACCGGUUCCUCAAUGUCUUUCUGUUCAGAAACUUUACUGUUCUCUGGUUUCUGGCAAGACGCUUCCCUGAAAAGACAAAAGAGACAUAAGCACAGAGUAUUAAACGUUGCUUCUUAUUUUGCAUAGAACAAAUAAUGUCUACAUUGUAAUUUGAUUUCACAAUGGUAUCAAGAAACAAACCUUUGCAGUUGGUUUGCUCGGCUGAAAUUAGCAUAAUAUCUUGAAUCCUCCCUGAUAAAGGAUGCUGACCUGUGCAAGUUGUGAAAAAUAUAUUAGCCUUUCAUCUAUAUAAAAAUAACUACAUAACAUAAGUUGUAUGACAUGCUCAAUAAAAACAAAACAUUCCAAAAUCAUUGUAUGAUUUGUUAAUAUAUUUUUGAUUACAUCAGAUCAAAACAUGAAAGCUGAAGUUACCUUUUGUGUUUUAUGCCAAGGACAAUUCCAACAACAACAAUGAUGGUCAGAAUGGCAACAACUGGUACGGAGAUGGACACAUGCUUUAGUAGAUCAUUCUCCGGGUCUGCUCCCACUGUGGACAGUAAUAUGGUUAAUAAUGGAAACCAAAUGACAUAUUUAGACGCAUUUAAUGUUCUAAACAUUGUAAACAUACCUGGUUGUCCUUGAGUGAUGGGAGUUAGCUGUGUUGUACCUAAAAAGAAAUGUUUUGUUAUUUACUUGCAUUUACUUACCUUACUUUUCUGACAUGAAUACAAAUAUUAAAUAGCUUUUUAGUAAAAUUGAGGAGUACAGGAACAAAGUAUUUGAAUGUGAAAGAGAGAGUAAAAGCCUACCGGGUAUACCUGGAACAAUUAGCAGAGCACAUGGACAUUUGGUAGAAACAUAAGGUUUUGCUGUAAUCUUAUUUUAUUCAAUUUGAUUUAGUAAAUAUAAAUAAUUAAAAACAUUUGUUACUGAAAGUCUUACCAGUUACAGCAAUGGAGACACUAUUUUGUGAAAAACUGUAGUUGUCCCCCUUUGCAAUAAGUCUCACAUAGAUGUUUGGGACAUUAUCCCUGAUAUUGAAGAUCUUGAGGGAGCAGUUCCCUGCGCUUUUAUUUCCCAUGAGCCGGGUCUUUCCUCUGUACUUCUCAAGCACAAACGUCUCGUUUGGGUGAAAAAUAAAAGCAUUUUUGUCGUUGUCAAAAGUAUUAAAUUUGCUUUUCUCAUCCUUUUUCCAGAAAACUUGCAUACUUUCCGUGUAAUGUUUAGUUGGAACGGUGAAGUGACAUUGAAUGGUCACGUUUGAACCCAAGGUUGCAUUGAUAUGUCUGCUGACAUCAAUAUUCCAGCUUUCACCUUGGAACAAAACAAGAACAGAAUUGACAUUGUCCACAACGUAUAAUUCAUUACAUUACAUUAAAUGACAUGUCAAUUAGCUGACCUACAAUAGGUGCAUUUAAAUCACGAGGAGACAAACCCAGAAGAACAAGAAACAAUUCAAUCCAUGAUUUAAAAUGAACGAACAUUGACUCAUUAUGUCACCCACCUUCUGAAUUAGACGCCACGAUCAAUAUGAGGGUAUAAUCGAUCAGGCUUAUCAACUUCAUCUGAUCCAAGGAAGGUAUUCUGAAGUUGACCAACAUCCUGAAACUGUAUAGUGGACUCAGUUUUUCACCUCCAUCACAUCUUGUAGCUUACAUGAUUUAACGUUCUGGUGUUAAACCGCCUUUUCUCUGCAGAAAGUAGGUACUCACUGUGAAAGGGACCUCGGGGCUGAGUUGUGCUCUGUCAAUGUGUAUUACACUUAACAGUGAUGUGAAAUAGUUUCUUUCCUGUUCAUCACAUCACAAAAAAAGAGGAAGUUGGGACAGAGAUGUUCCCUUCAACCGUGAGAUGACUUUCUCGUUGCGAUUCCGAGGUAAUGAGUGAACACUGAAGCCGAAGUGCUGCUGCUUAACAUAAUUGAGGACAUGAACUUGAAGUGAAAGUGUCCAUUUACUAGAGGUGUCAAGUAACUUUGUUACUGUACUUAAGUAGACAUUUUGGGUAUCUAUACUUUACUGGAGUAUUUUAUUUUUUUUUUACUUCUACUCCUUACAUUUUCACGUAAAUGUCUGUACUUUCUACUCCUUACAUUUAAAAAAAAAAAAGCCUUGUUACUUCCGGCUUGUCGUCGUUCAAAAACCCCCACAAAAAAAAACCUAUGCAGAUAAAUCGCGCCAUCCGGAUAGAGUGAAUUUGAUUGUGGUCGGAUGAGAAGUAUAAAUAUUUACCAUUCCGCCAACAAUUUUCCCUUACAUAUACUACUUUAAGUAGCUUUAAAACCAGUACUUUUACUUUAUCUUAAGUAAAAAGCUUGAGUUGAUACUUUUUAAACCCUAGUAUCUAUACUUACUUGAGGAAUGAAUGUGAAUACUUUUGACACCUCUGCCAUUUACACACAUGUGAUUUACAAACCAUUCUGUUUUUUUAAACAAAAUUUAUGUUGAGUUUUAGAAUGAACCGUAACAUCUACAUUUACACAAUCACACGUUAUAAAACAGAGCAGGUGUUACUUCAACUAUUAGAUACAAAAAUGCAUUAGAUACAAAAAUGUAAAAGAGUCAAGAGUCGCUCUGCUGGUUUCGAGGAUAACGGGUACACUGAAAACACACCGAAAACACAUGUAUCUUACCAAUAGCAUAGCUCAGAGGUGAGAAUAUAGAGUGUAUGUCUCUUACUGAGA